UGGGAAUUUGGACAAUGGGCGAAAGCCUGAUCCAGCAAUGCCGCGUGUGUGAAGAAGGCCUUCGGGUUGUAAAGCACUUUUGUCCGGAAAGAAAUCCUUGGCUCUAAUACAGUCGGGGGAUGACGGUACCGGAAGAAUAAGCACCGGCUAACUACGUGCCAGCAGCCGCGGUAAUACGUAGGGUGCAAGCGUUAAUCGGAAUUACUGGGCGUAAAGCGUGCGCAGGCGGUUUGCUAAGACCGAUGUGAAAUCCCCGGGCUCAACCUGGGAACUGCAUUGGUGACUGGCAGGCUAGAGUAUGGCAGAGGGGGGUAGAAUUCCACGUGUAGCAGUGAAAUGCGUAGAGAUGUGGAGGAAUACCGAUGGCGAAGGCAGCCCCCUGGGCCAAUACUGACGCUCAUGCACGAAAGCGUGGGGAGCAAACAGGAUUAGAUACCCUGGUAGUCCACGCCCUAAACGAUGUCAACUAGUUGUUGGGGAUUCAUUUCCUAGUAACGUAGCUAACGCGUGAAGUUGACCGCCUGGGGAGUACGGUCGCAAGAUUAAAACUUCAAAUGAAUUGACGGGGUCAUAGCUGUUUCCU
rnacentral:rRNA from 1 species